UACACCUGUUCCCAUGCCGAACACAGAAGUUAAGCUUCUUCACGCCGAGAGUAGUUGGUGGGAAACUGCCUGCGAGGGUAGGAAGCUGCCACGC
rnacentral:rRNA from 1 species